ensembl:snoRNA
GCUGCCCUGCGGGUGCUGCACCUGUGACGCCAGGGCACAGAGGAAGUGGCUAUUUCUAGGCUCAGUGCUCAGUGGGCGCUAGGAAUGGUCUGUAGCCUGACAUUC